GUACGAGUAGAGGAUUGGUCGACUCAUCAGGCCCAUGACCUGAAGACUGCAGGUUCGAAUCCUGCUACC
rnacentral:tRNA from 1 species